AGUGAACGCUGGCGGUAGGCCUAACACAUGCAAGUCGAACGGCAGCACAGUAAGAGCUUGCUCUUACGGGUGGCGAGUGGCGGACGGGUGAGGAAUACAUCGGAAUCUACUUUUUCGUGGGGGAUAACGGAGGGAAACUUACGCUAAUACCGCAUACGACCUACGGGUGAAAGCAGGAGAUCUUCGGACCUUGCGCGAUUGAAUGAGACGAUGUCGGAUUAGCUAGUUGGCGGGGUAAAGGCCCACCAAGGCAACGAUGCGUAGCUGGUCUGAGAGGAUGAUCAGCCACACUGGAACUGAGACACGGUCCAGACUCCUACGGGAGGCAGCAGUGGGGAAUAUUGGACAAAGGGCGCAAGCCUGAUCCAGCCAUACCGCGUGGGUGAAGAAGGCCUUCGGGUUGUAAAGCCCUUUUGUUGGGAAAGAAAAGCAGCAGGUUAAUACCCCGCUGUUCUGACGGUACCCAAAGAAUAAGCACCGGCUAACUUCGUG
rnacentral:rRNA from 1 species